AAGCCUGAAGUUCGCUGAUCCAGAGCAGGUUUUUUACAAACAUGUCUAAAGCCUAACAGCUGAGGGACAGGCUGAAACAACUGCCAACAGCUGCUGAUGAAGAAAUAUUUGAAUUGUUAGCAGGGUUGAUAGCAAACCAUGAAGAAGAAAUUCAUCGUUUAAAAGAAGAGAACAAAGGACGGAAAGUUCUGGAAGCUGCUUUUAAUCCUCGAGUUCGCUUGUACAAAGCAGGACAAGAACUCCUGAAGAAGGA